CGAACGCUGGCGGCGCGUCUUAAGCAUGCAAGUCGAGCGGUAAGAUUGGUGCUUGCACUAAUCCUAGAGCGGCGGACUGGUGAGUAACGCGUGGGUGACGUACCUCUGUGACGGGGACAGCUCCUAGAAAUAGGAGAUAAUACCGGAUACGCUGCAUGUUGUCAGAGGACAUGCAGGAAAGGAUCUUUUGAUUCGCACAGAGAGCGGCCCGCGUACUAUUAGCUUGUUGGUGAGGUAACGGCCCACCAAGGCAACGAUAGUUACCCGGCCUAAGAGGGUGAUCGGGCACAUUGGGACUGAGAUACGGCCCAGACUCCUACGGGAGGCAGCAGCUAAGAAUAUUCCGCAAUGGACGAAAGUCUGACGGAGCGACGCCGCGUGGAUGAUGAAAGGCCGGAAGGUUGUAAAAUCCUUUUAUGACUGAGGAAUAAGUGAAGUGAGAGAAACGCUUCAUGGUGACUGUAGGUCAUGAAUAAGCAACGGCUAAUUACGUGCCAGCCGCCGC
rnacentral:rRNA from 1 species